GGCUCUGCGGCGCAAUGGAUAGCGCAUUGGACUUCUAAUUCAAAGGUUGUGGGUUUGAGUCCCACCAGAGUCA
rnacentral:tRNA from 1 species